rnacentral:rRNA from 1 species
GUGGGGAAUCUUAGACAAUGGGGGAAACCCUGAUCUAGCCAUGCCGCGUGAGCGAUGAAGGCCUUAGGGUUGUAAAGCUCUUUCAGCUGGGAAGAUAAUGACGGUACCAGCAGAAGAAGCCCCGGCUAACUCCGUGCCAGCAGCCGCGGUAAUACGGAGGGGGCUAGCGUUGUUCGGAAUUACUGGGCGGAAAGCGCGCGUAGGCGGACCAGAAAGUUGGAGGUGAAAUCCCAGGGCUCAACCUUGGAACUGCCUUCAAAACUCCUGGUCUGGAGUUCGAGAGAGGUGAGUGGAAUUCCGAGUGUAGAGGUGAAAUUCGUAGAUAUUCGGAGGAACACCAGUGGCGAAGGCGGCUCACUGGCUCGAUACUGACGCUGAGGUGCGAAAGCGUGGGGAGCAAACAGGAUUAGAUACCCUUGUAGUCC